UACGUAGGCAGCGAGCGUUGUUCGGAGUUACUGGGCGUAAAGGGUGUGUAGGCGGUUGUUUAAGUUUGGUGUGAAAUCUCCCGGCUCAACUGGGAGGGUGCGCCGAAUACUGAAUGACUUGGAGUGGGGGAGAGGAAAGUGGAAUUCCUGGUGUAGCGGUGAAAUGCGUAGAUAUCAGGAGGAACACCGGUGGUGUAGACGGCUUUCUGGACCGUAACUGACGCUGAGACACGAAAGCGUGGGUAGCAAACAGG
rnacentral:rRNA from 1 species